rnacentral:misc_RNA from 1 species
AAGUCGUAACAAGGUCUCCGUAGGUGAACCUGCGGAGGGAUCAUUAACGAGCGAAGGGCCCUCGGCCCGACCUCCAACCCCCAUGUGAUACGACCUUUGUGCCUCGGGGGACCACCGGCGCAACGCCCGCGUACGUCAAAGUACCGGGCGCCGCGGCGGGCCCCCGGCAGGAGCCAUCCAACCCACUGCAUCUGUGCGUCCGAGUCAAUGAUAAAUCAAACAAAA